GCCGGGAUGGCGAAAUUGGUAGACGCGCUACGUUCAGAACGUAGUUCUUUCACGAGAAUAAGGGUUCAACUCCCUUUCCCGGCACCA
rnacentral:tRNA from 1 species